rnacentral:rRNA from 1 species
CACGUAGGGGGCGAGCGUUGUCCGGAUUUAUUGGGUGUAAAGAGCUCGUAGGCGGUUCGGCAAGUCGGGUGUGAAAUUUCGAGGCUCAACCUCGAAACGCCACUCGAUACUGCUGUGACUGGAGUCCGGUAGAGGAGUGCGGAAUUCCUGGUGUAGCGGUGAAAUGCGCAGAUAUCAGGAGGAACACCAACGGCGAAGGCAGCACUCUGGGCCGGUACUGACGCUGAGGAGCGAAAGCGUGGGGAGCAAACAGG